rnacentral:lncRNA from 1 species
AUGACUGUGGGCCAGUAUUUUAAUAUAUUUUUUUGUAAUUUUUAUUUAUUUAUGAUAGUCACAGAGAGAGAGAGAGGGCAGAGACACAGGCAGAGGGAGAAGCAGGCUCCAUGCACCGGGAGCCCGACGUGGGAUUCGACCCCGGGUCUCCAGGAUCGCGCCCUGGGCCAAAGUCAUUCUGACAGAUGUGAAGUUAUAGCUCAUGGUGGUUUUGGUUUGCAUUUAUUUGAUGGUCAUGAUCUCCUGGACCAAGCCCUGCAUUGGACUCUGCGCUCAGAUUCUCUCUCCCUCUCCUGCCAGUUCACGCAUGCACAUGAUAUUUCUCUCAAAUAA